rnacentral:lncRNA from 1 species
ACGUGCGCCUCGGGGGUCUCCUUCCAGUCCAUCCGGGCGUUGGCGAACGCGGCCGUCUCGCUGCUGCCGCCAGAGAUCGCCGGGACGAUGGAGCGGAAGGUGUCGAAGGGGUCCGCCCAGAGGUCGGCGAAGGGGUCGAACACGUUGCUCCGCCGCACGAUCGACAUCGUCGGUGUUGAUUGCUUCGGCUUGUGCGCUCGGAAAAUUCUGUAGAUCGUAGGUAGGACUAGGAUGCUGUGUGCUUUUGCUUUACACUGAUUCGAGUUGGCAUGGAGGGCAACGGGAGGCCAGGUACUUAUAGCGUCGCAGGUGCUGCUCUUGAAGCAUCUCGAGCACUCUGCAAUCGACGAGCGUUUGGUUCUGUUCGGCUUUCCAGCUCGGCUCCACGAGCUUCUCCUUGUUUCUAUUUUCGGCCCAUGAAGGUGCCACCGUGUUCUAGAGUAGUCUCCUGCUUUGGUGUUAGUGGGCCUUCUCCAUUAUUUUUCUUUGUACAGAUCCAGCACCCCGGCGAGUACUCCGGAAUGUGAUGGGGCCUUUUCUAGAAAACGACAUGGAGAACUCGAGAUGCCUCAGGAGCGCACCCAGCAAGCGACUCACACCGGAACAGAGACGGUGAGACCAACCGAGAAGAGCGCCAAUCACAGACCAAAGCUAUGAUCCAAUUACACGAGUUUUUUUUUAUAAACCUGAUAUCUAUAUCUAUUCCAUUAUAUAAUGUACGAAUAACUUGGAAUAACAAUCAUUGGAUUCGAUGAAGCCGAUACGACGGUAAAAACAUGGCAAAUUCGAGUGUUGCUGACCUGUUGGAUCUUUUCAUUGCUUCACUAGAUUCUGUACGUGUACUAUUUAGAAGAUUCUAUGGUUGGCCUUAAGCCACAUGAACAUUUCGCACAAAACUUGUAGUAGGCUUCUACUUUAUUCUAGACUCUUCCAUGCUCAUUCUCUCCUAAUUUCUUUUUUCUAUCGAAACUAUCAUUCACUUUUACUUUGUAUUCAAGGCUAUGUACUUCCAUAAAUCAUAUUUAUCUUUGCAGAUAGAACAAUAGCUUUAUGAUAGCCAGAAAAGAUAUCUAGACCAAACACGCUCAAUAUAUUUUUGAAGUGAUUUUUUAUUUUAUUUUUGCAUCUUAUACGUCAUGGAUAUGCCUCCCAAUUCCAUUUGCAUGUUAUAAUUAAUACAAUAACAAUAUGCCUAUCUUUGGUUGUAGUUUGAUUAUCUGAGCUGCCACGUACAUAGCACGUACUUCCUCCGUUCCAUAAUGUAGUAUGUAUAGUUUUUUUGAAAAGUCAAACCUCACAAAUUUUGAUCAAGUUUGUGGAGAAAAAUAUUUACAUCUAUAAUUCCCAACAUAUAUCGUUAGAUUCAUCAUAAGAUGUAGUUUCAUAUUUUAUAUAUUAGCUACUGUAGAUAUAAAUAAUUUUCUCUACAAAUUUGGUCAAAGUAUGCAAAGUUUGACUUUUCAAAGAAAUCUAUAUGCACUACAUUAUGAAAUGGAUGGAGUAUAACUUACAGGUAUAAGAUAGAGUCAAAUCUUUUGUCCAGGUUUAACUUAAGCAAUAGUAAUAUGUACAGACCGCUUGAUUAAAAGCGAUGAUAGUCAAAAUGUAAAACCAAUAUUAUUUUCACUACCGAAAUAAAGCGGAAUUGUAGCGACUGGGAUCACAUGCGGAAGCAACUUCCACUCUCACUCCGCAAAUGUCAUCCUCGACGGAGAGUUGUUCCUAGCAGAAAACUUGGUCCCAAAACACUUGAAUCGUGUAACUGUGCCCUUCAAUUCUAAAUAAAUGUGGUUUUGGUCUCUUGAAGUGGUUUUGAUCAAAGUUGUGCUGAUGUGCAGUCCUCGUCGCGGUCGCGUGCCUCUUGCAUCGCCAUAUUUUCUUCUGAAAUAUCCAUAUAAUGCUAAAGAAAAGAUCCAAAUACAAUUGUGAUUUAAAUUCAAGGUCCAAAUACAAUUCUUUAAAACGUUCACAAAAUUUGGUUGGAGUCAUAACUCUUGCCAGAAAUAUCAAACAUUUAAUAAGACAUUUUGGAAACAUUGAAUUAGAUUUUUGGGUUUUUUCCCUUUUAUUAAAGUUUGAGGCUUUUAAUUUCCUUCAAUUCAAUUUUUCUAAAUUUAAACAUGAUGCAUGGAUGCUUCUAAUGCAACAAUUUACAACUAACUACACUAUAAUAUUGUAGGGCCGUGAUAGCACGUGUACUACUCCUUUUCUCAAGCUUCAAUGGCAUGUAGAAGAGAAUCCCUUAUAAAAUGGUCUGAACUCCCUUUCGAGAGCAACUAAUCAACGAGUACUCCUUGGGGAGCCCUGCAAUGGACAUUUUUGGGGGGCUGGAAGCGCCACUUGGCGUGCUCUCAGUCACCGCCACAUGUCGCAUACUGGGUGGUCCCUCUGGGUUUUAUUAUUUAUUAUUUCAUUAUUUUUUGUACGCAUUUUCGGCUUGUAGUUGGCAUUUUCCGGGUUUUUUGGCUUUUCGAUUUUCCCUUCUUUCCUUAGGUUUUGGACAAAAAAUAAAUCAAAAAACCAAUAUUUUGCGCGAAAAAUGUGUUUUUUUCCUGCAAGAGGCACAUAUUUACUUUUCGUGGAGGCACUCGAAAAAAACACAUUUUUUUGCUACCACGAGAGACACGGAUUUACUUCACGUGGAGGCACAGAUUUGCUUCCGCGAGAGGCGCGGUUGUGCCUCUCGAAAAAAAAACGUGUCUUUUUUCUUCAGUGAGAGGCACAGAUAAUACUUCUCCUUGAGACACUGAUUUGCUGUGCCUCUUGGAAAAGGAAAAAUAACCUGUUUUCUUUUUUUCCGCAAGAGGCACAUAUAUGCUUCCACGGGAGGCACAGUUGUGCCUCUCGGGAAAGGAAAAAAUAUAUAUUCCGCAAGAGGCGCAAAUUUGCUUCUGGUGGAGACAUAUAUUUGCUUCUGGUGCAGACUCAAAGCAGAAAAUUAUUUUUCUCAUUUACAUCCCUAGCCGCCAAUCUCCACCUGGGCUUGGUCGGUUGCCCCGACCUACUGCCGUGUAGCCAUCGCUACCUCGAAAGGGUACCUCUAUGUAUCUCUUGAGAGCUCCUCAUUGGGGCCUUAUGUGCCAGUUUUGCCAGGCGAUGCUCACGUGCCGACCCAUUUAGAAAAACCGAUUGCUUCGAUCGAUCGGCGACAAAGAAAAACCGCUUACCCCUGACUUUUCAAAAUUUUAAAAAAGUUCACAGAUUUUGCAAAAAACAUCACGAACUUGAAAAGGUUCAUGCAUUGAAAAACAGAUUUUAAAAGAGUUCAUCAUUUUUUUUACAAAAGUUCACAAAUUUGAAAAAUCUUCACGGAUUUGUUAAAUAAAAUCUUGGGUUUAAAAAAAGUUCAUUGAUUGUGAAAAAGCUCAUCGAUUUUCAAAAAAAGAUGGAUAAAAGAAAAAAAUUAGUGGGCCUUAUAGCGUCGUCGGCUGCUGGUCUUGAAGCAUCUCGAGAACUCUCCAAUGGGCAAGAGUUUGCUUUCUUCCUUCGGUUAUCAGCCCUUGAAGGGCCUACCGUCUUCUAGAGUCUCCUACUUGCCGUUAGUGGGCCUUCUCUCUAUUUCUUGUUAAUAAUUGUACUGGCACCUGGGCGAGGGCGACUAGUCUAGAAUGUGUUGUGGGGCCGUUUCUAGAAGAGUUUCAAAGUGUUGGGCGUUUUUCCAUUGAAAUGAUUUUUCUUCGGCUUUUUUUGUAAAACUUUUCUGUUUUUGGUUUUCCCUUUUUUGGGUUUUCUGUUUUCGGUUCUACAUGUUUUCUCUAUUUUCUUUUUUUUCUGUUUCUUUGUUUUUUGGUUUUACGUCUCCAAUAGUUUAUGCUUCUUAAAAAAUGAACACGGUUGUGUUUCACCUUGCGAAAGCACAAGCAAGUUCACUUGGAAGCACAGUUUAGUACAAUUUGAAAGCACAAGUUACUACUAGUUGAAAGCACAAAUUUGCCCAAAAAAUUCUCAUCGAAACCAACUGACAUGAAAUCUAAUUUUGAAGAUCUUGACGCAAGAAACACAAUGGUGAAAAUGGUUCGCGAUUUAGACGUGCGGUUCAAUAGAUAAAACUCUUUAAAAAACCAAUCUAUGAAAAAAGAACACAAACCCACCGGCGCCUCCCGUACGAGGAGUGAAAUCCGACCAAAACUCUCUGGUUGCGACAAUUCUCACACAUGCAGUUGCCACUUAUCACAUCACCGGGGGAGGUGAGAGUGCAAGGGGUACCCCUAAACCACUGAUUCCGGAGAACUUGAGGUGUCGAUCAUGUGAGGAGCCGGAGGGCCAAUCCUAGAGGGCAAACGCGACGUUAUAUGGGCCAGCCCAUUAUGGGCUCCGUAUUUUUUCCAUAAUUUUCCCUUGCCGUUUUUCCUUUUUUCUGUUUUUCCAUUCAGUUCAAUUUUUGCUUUUUUCAAUUUUUUCUAUAGAAAUAACAAAACAAUUCUUGAAUUCACCAAUAUUUUAUGAACUCGACAACAUUUCAAAUUCACAAAUAUGCUUUCAAUAUGUUACCAUUUCUUAAAUCAAAUAUAUUAUUCAAAUCCAUGAACAGUAUUUUAGUUCUCAACAUUUUUUGAUAUCCUUGAACAAUUUUUAAAAUUCAUGGACAUUUUUAUUUCACGAACAUUUUCCAAGAACAUGAACCUUUUUAAAUUUUCUUUUUUAAUUUGCACUCAUUUUAUGAAAAUAAAGAAACAAAUAAAAUUUGUAAAAAUUUCAUGAAUUAGCAAACCUUUUUUAAAAUCCAUUAAUAAUUUCUAUAAUUCACAAACAAUUUUCAAAAUUGUUUUUUGUUACAAAUUCGUGAACAAUUUUUUUGAAUUCACGAAUAUAUUUUUAAAAUUUAUGAAUAUAUUACUGAUUUUUUUUUAAAGAUGAAUCAUAAAGGAUGAAAACACAAGUGCACACACUUCUGCACUAGGCCAACCCAAAGUGCUUGGAGGUACGCGUUUGCUAGCCUUCGGUCACUAUAUGUGGUAACUAGGAGGUCCCGUGUAAGUCCUCGUCUUCACCGCCUUAAGCACCAGCUAGCAAAGCUGGCGCUCGCACGCAUGGAAGCGGGCCGUGGCCCAACUUUGCGCUAGCCUCUCGCUCGCUUCGCCUACUAGUUUUCCGUUAUUUUCUACCGUUGGUCUGGUAGGGAAAAACAGGUCGUUAUAAUACAAUUGAAAAAAUUUCAUCGAUAAAAAGUUCAUAGAUUUGCAAAAGAAAGUUCAUGAAAAAAGAAAAAAUUCAUUAUUUUGAAAAGGUUGACGAAUUUGAAAAGGUUCAUGAUAAUUUGAGAAAGGUUCAUGAAUUUGAAAAAACCAUUGAUAUUGGAAAAAGAAGUUCAUGAAUUUAAAAGAAGUUUUCCAAUUGACGAAAGGUUUUCCGAAUUGAGAAAAGUUCCAUGCAUUUGAAAAAAUAAAGAAUAAUAAAAAAGAAAAUAAAUAGAAAAAGAAUGAUCAAAAAACCUAAAACAUUAAAAAAUGGCUGGGAAGCUUUUGGAAUUUGGACCAUUUCAAAACGCUUCUGGCACCACCGCGCGAGUUAACGAAAUGCACAUAAGGCGUCAAAUAGGAUUUUAGGUCCCGAGUGGGAUCUCCUAUUUUGCCGCACGCUGCAACAACGGGGCGUGGCUACCUCUCAUCCGCAGCUAGAUGCGAGGUCUGCUGGCAUCUGUGCUUCUUAAAUGGUCCAGACUCAUAAGCAGGCACACGCGUAAGAAUGUGUGUCAACCACAUACUACGCAUGGCCGUCGACAUGGGUGUGCGAGGUGGGCGACCAAACAGGGCCCCCAAAAAAUAGGGAGGCCCAAAUCCUCUAUCCGUUCUACGUCUCUUUGGUUUUAGUCUGUGUCAGAACUUAUAGGGAGAGGUAGGGCGACCAUUCUGCUUUCAUUUUUUCAUUUGUACUCUGUGUAUUUGAAUCUAUCUACUGGAAGUCGCAGCCGCCACCAUGAAUGAAAGCUCCUGCUCUACCUUGCAUUGUGGGGGAGGAAAAUGACAGAAGGAAGGGCGAUCGGUUAUUUGGGCCUUGGACCUUUAGGCCUGGUAAACUGAUAAGGUAAGUCCAUAGGUGUUUUGUUGAAAACCCCUAAAAAAGGUGUUUUGUUGGAAGGGAAUCAGUUGCAUGCAAACCUAAGUCACAAGGAGGAAAUCGGUGGUGUACGGUGUCCAGCGGGGCACGACAGCCUCUAGCGGGCGGAGAGCGGUGUCCGGCGUCGUCUUAUAUUAUGUGGGAAACAUGCCUGAUAUGGUGAACUGGUGAUGUGGAGGUAGUUUUUCCAUGUGAAGAUCUUGUCUGCUAUGGAACUUGCAUAUGAUGCUUUUGUAUAUGGUCUCCUCGUAUGAUCCUAAUUUAAGAGCUUUCUUCUUAGAGCCUAUUUAUUUGGACUUUUGCUACUACUUUUCCAGCUUUUCCACUUUGACAAAAAAAUCACAAAAAAGCUCUUAAAUAGGGGUUUUUUGCUUCAGCUUUUGUCUUAUGAAUCAAUAUUCUUAUAUGAUGGUAUAAGCAAAAAAAUCACUUAUUUAGGAGUUUUUUUUUGGCUUUUUGCCAAAGUAGAAAGCCUACAAAAGCAGAAGCAAAAGUCCAAACAAACAGGGCCUUAAUCAUAUUUUGAAUGCAAAGACUCGCAUGUCUCACUUUGCUUAUCAAUUUGUUGAAAUAUUGUUUGCCAAUUAUCAAGUUUCUCUUGGAGUUUUAGAUGAGAAAAAUGAAAGUAUUGCCGGUGUCGGCCAGGGAGGUUCCAAAGUCUUGAUGCGGCAUUCUAACUUGGUGAUAAUUGUUGUGUUAUACUAGUAUACAGUGAUAUGAUACGCUCUAUCACACAUAUGCCUCCUUAUAUCUGCCUCAAAACAUCCACCAUACCUACCUAUUAUGCAUUUGCAUAGCCAUCAGAGAUAUAUUGCCAUGCAACUUCCACCGUUCCAUCACAUGACUUGUCUGUUCAUCAUCAUAUUGCUUUGCAUGAUCAUAUAGAGCUGAGAUGAUAUUUGUGGCAUAGCCAUCGUUCAUCAUUGUUAUACAUAUUACGCUAUAUCAUUGCACAUCCUGGUACACUGCCAGAGACAUUCAUAUAGAGUCAUGUUGUUUCAGUUAUCAAGUUAUAAUAUCGAGUUGUAAGUAAAUAAAAGUGUGAUGAUCAUCAUUAUUAGAGCAUUGUCCCAAUGAGGAAAGGAUGAUGGGGACUAUGAUUCCCCCACAAGUCGGGAUGAGACUCUGGAUAAAAAAAGAAGAAAGAAAAAGAGAAAAAAAUAAAAAGAACAAGAACAAGAAAAAAAUGCGAGAAAAGAGAAAACGAGCAAUGUUAAUAACCUUUUACCACACUUCUGCUUCAGAAUAGCAUCAUGUUCUUUAUAUAGAGAGUCUUCUGAGCUAUCACUUUCAUAUAGUAGUGCGAAUUUUUUAUUGUAGAACUUAGCUUGUAUAUUUCGAUGAUGGGCUUCCUCAAAUGCCCGAGGUCUUCAUAAGCAAGCAAGUUGGAUGCACACCCAUUAUGUUUCCGUUGAGGUUUCAUACACUUUAUAGCUCUUAGUGCAUCCAUUGCAUGGAAAUCACUACUCCUUGCAUUGAUAUCGAUUGAUGGUCCUCUACAUUGCUCGUUGAUCCGCCUAGUUGAUGCGAGACUUUCUUCCUUUCUGACUUUCCUUAGGGUGUGUUUGUUAGCUGAUAUGUCUCCAACGUAUCUAUAAUUUUUUAUUAUUCCAUGCUAUUAUAGUAUUAACCUUAGAUGUUUUAUAUACACUUUCAAGCAAUUAUAUAUCAUUUUUAGGGACUAACCUAUGAACUUAGUGCCUAGUGUCAGUUGUUGUUUUUUGCUUGUUUUUUGUUUUUUAGAAUAUCAGUACCAAACGAAGUCCAAAUGCCAUGAAACAUUUUAGAGAUUUUUUUCUGGACAUAAGAGACCCUGAAAGCUUCGGAGGGGACGAAGAGAUGGAGCAGUGGCCCACAAGGCACCAGGGCGCGCCCACGGGGGUAGGGCGCUCCCUGGUGGCUUGUGGAGCCCUCGUGGCUCCGUUUGACCCAACUUCGCCUCUAUAAAUUCUCUAAAAUCGUGAAACCAACAAAGGAGUCCAAGAAAUACUUUUUUCGCCGCCGCAAGUUCCAGAACCACGAGACUCCAUCUAAAGGCCUUUUACGGCACUCUGCCGGAGGGGGAUUCGAUUAUGGAGGGGCUCUACAUCAUCCUUGCUGCCCUUCCGAUGAUGCGUGAGUAGUUUACCACAGACCUACGGGUCCAUAGUUAGUAGCUAGAUGACUUCUUCUCUCUAUUUAAUCUUCAACAUAAUGUUCCGCUCGAUGUUCUUGGAGUUCUAUCCGGUGUAAUCACUUUUUGCGAUGUGUUUUUUGGGAUCCAACGAAUUGUAAGUUUAUGAUCAGAUCUAUCCAUGAAUAUUAUUUAACUUUUCUCUGAAUUCUUUUAUGCAUGAUUGUUAUAGCAUCAUAUUUCUCUCUGAUCUAUUGAUUUAGUUUCGCCAACUAGAUUGAUUUUUCUUGCAAUGCGAGACGUGCUUUGUAAUGGGUUUGAUCUUGCGGUGCUCAAUCCUAGUGACAGAAGGAGACAUUACACAUAUUGUAUCAUUGCUAUUAAGGGUAAAAAGAUGGGGUCUAUUCAUACGUGAGUUUAUCUUAUCUACAUCAUGUUAUCUUGCUUAAGUCUUUACCCCGUUCUUUAUGAACUUAAUACUCUAGAUGCAUGCUGGAUAGCGGUCGACGUGUGGAUUAAUAGUAGUACAUGCAGGCAGGAGUCGGUCUACUUGUCUCGGACGUGAUGCCUAUAUACAUGAUUAUUGCCUUGGAUAUCGUCAUAAUUAUUUGCUUUUCUAUCAAUUGCCCAAUAGUAAUUUGUUUACCCACUGUAUGCUAUUUUCAAGAGAGAAGCCUCUAGUGAAAUGGCCCCCGGGUCUAUCUUUUAUCAUAUAUUAAAACCAAAAAUACCUUGCUGUGUUUUUGCUUUAUUUAUUUUAUUUUGUAAUUUUAUCUGAUCUAUUUAUCAAAUACCAUGCAAUUUAAUCUUGCUCGUAACCGUCGAGAGAUUGACAACCCCUUGUUCGGGUUGCAAGGAUUUAUUGUUUGUGUGCAGGUGCUGCUAACGAGGUGUUGCUUGGUUCUCCUACUUGAUUGAUAACCUUGGUUCUUAACUAAGGGAAAUACUUAUCUCUACUGUACUGCAUCAUUCUCUCCUCUUCGCGAAAAUCCCAACGCAGUUCACAAGUAGAUGUAGCUUGCAUGGAGGGUGCAUGGUGCCAAAAAUAGCUACAAAUGGAGCUGUGUAAGACGAGCCGUGGACUCCAAAACGAUGCCUUCAGUAAGGUAACAGCACCAGAGCGCCGCUGUCCCUCAAUCCAAAGGAUCACAACGAAAGAAGGAGAGUAGCCAUGAUGCUGUCUUAAUGGACAUCCUCGAAUGCCGCCGCCGUCAGUCCGGUCCAAGCUAGACAGGAAUUAGUCCCCGGCCCGCCUCCCAGCCCCCAAGACCACGAACGAUCGCCUAAAAUACCGACCACCACGCCGCCUACAUGGCCAUGAUUGUUGGUCCACACCUAAGCUGCGAGCUCCCCGCCUGCGAGCACCAUGGCUCCCACCACUAGGGUCGCCGCCCCGACAUCCCAUAUCUCUCCUCCGCGUGCUAACAUCGCACCCGGACACCAACAAGCGAUGAAGUGGCAGAAGGCAUCACCAAGAGCCCCAAAGUCAGCUCCUUGGUGAGGUCAGGGCUCAACCGGUCCUUACAGGGCAGGGGAAGUGGACACGACCACCAACUGCAGCCACCCCAACCACCGAAGACCCGAACCUCUGCCACGACCAACCUGGUUUUUUCCAAUUUUAGCAACAAGAUGGCCAGGGGGCCCCCACCCUCCCUCGCCGAUUUGCCCCCACCAUCGGGCCGCCGAAGAUGCCCAGAGCAUUAGCCACUGCCACCCACCGACUGAGCUCGCCUCCCACUGCCAGAUCGAGUCAUCGGACGAACAUAGGAGAAGAUCAUGGUUGUCCCCCACCACGCCGAUGCCACCACCUAGCACUAUAGGGUUGCCGCCUGUGACCUAAGCCGCCCACAACUCGCGCCGCCUGGCAGAGCAAGCCAUCGCCACUCGCCAAUAGCCCACCUGGACGCGCAUAUAAACCACCGCCAGCCACGGCAGAGCUGGUCGCCCGUGACCCAAGCCGCACGCAACCCCUGCUGCAUGACGACGGGCCGCCGACGCGAGAUCCGCCUGAUCUGGUCGGGGUUGUCUCGCACGUCACCGCCUAAAGAGGCCGCCGCUCUGCAGCCGCCACAUGGCUGCCAGGUAGAGCCACCACCAUCGAGCACGGUGGACAUUGUGCCACCGGGCCCCACGGCAAUCCAACACCUCCUCGCGUCACGCCCAGCCGCCAACCGUGACUCGGGGGGGGGGGGCACUACUGGAAUCGCCACCUACAUCGAGUGCCAGAAACACUCGGCAAACAGCCUAAACCCUCGGCAAAGGCUUUGUCGAGAGUUGUACUCGGCAAAGCCUACCAGGCGUACACCUCUCAGGCAAACAGAAAUUUGCCGAGAGCCAGAAAACGGGCACUCGGCAAAGAGUUUGCCGAGAGCCAAAUUGUGCCUCUCGGCAAAAUAAAGUGACUUCACGGUUGCUGGUUCCGUCAUUUCUUUGCCGAGAGCCAUGCUCGGCAUAACUGUCACAGCCAACUGCUAGAUGCUCCCAGUGCAUGCCAUUUUGCCGAGAGCUGCACUCAGUAAAGAUUCGUUCCUAGUUCCGUUUCUUCCGCUUUUCCCUCGAACCACUGCAGCAAAAAUAGAUAUACAAUACAAAAAACUUGCAUUUGAAGCCACAAAGUCUAACAACAAAACUCACAUAAACAUUAUAUCAAUAAUUCACACAAGCUUCAUGUCAAAUCACAAAGUAGCUCUUUGGUACAAGUGCCUACUUACUAAACAACAAAGUGGUCAAUGCAUGUCUACAUGCGACCACAUGAUAAAAGCAACACCAAAAUUAUGACGAGCUGAAGGAGAAUUGUCAAGUUCUUCCAUCCACUGAACCCAAUAAACCGUUUCUGGCUUGCACCAUUGCCUACUUCAGAUUUUCUCUUCUGGUUAAGCAUAUACUGUUUGUAAUGAUACUCUGCCUUCUCUCUGCUAUUGAACGAGUCAUGGGAGCUGCCUUCAUAGUGAAGCACUUGUUCAUUGCAUUCAAACAAUGAAUCGUAGAUUCCUGGACACCUACAUCUGUACACCGCACACCACAUCGUCUACAAAGAAAGAGAAAAGAGGCAGAGAAGGAAUGCAAGGUUAAAAUAUCACAUCAUACAUAAUCCACGUAAGCAUUCAUCACUCAUACAAUCAAAACCAUAGCAAGUGGCAAUCCAAGUCCAUAUCAGCAGCUACAUGACUAUAUCACUAAAUCAACGUCAAACUAUCUAGGUUGACUACUCCGAGGUGUAGUCUGUGAAACCAAUUAUCGUGGAGUCAGAGCACGCGGGGACAUUCACCAUAGUGGAGGACCAAGCGUCGUCGGGAAUGAUGGUCGGUGGACUCAAUGGAACCAGAUGGUCACACUCCUUACGUGGUGGGGCCCUCCUCUCCUUAGCUGGCGGAUUCUUCUUGGCGAGAUCCGCAAAUUACUUUAUUACGAUCAGUUGUGGGUUCUUCUCAAUGAGUGCCUCCAAGUGGUCCUCGGCGCGCUUCUCCUUGAACGCGGAGUCGACCCUAUAUUAAAGCUGCGUCUUCAGACGAAGCCAUAGCAGCAAAAUCGAUCGGUGCUAGCACCUUUCAUCACACAAUGAAAAAUAACAUAAGAUUAAAAUAUCAAAGAUUACUUCUAAGCAAAUUAAUCAUGAUGUACACUCUCUCACAGAUAUUUCGACUUUCGGUGAUGGUUGAGCUGGGCGAGUCCGUCGUGCGUGACAUAUGUAUAUCACAGGACGAACUCGCACAGUUCGACCGCCAUCGGCAAAAUUCGAUUUUUUUCCUCCAAGAACAACUCUUAUCCCUCUCACGUAUAUAUGGUGGACACUCUCUCUGGUGGUGGUAUCUAUGGUGAACACUCUCUCACGGGUAUUUCGAUUUUCGGUGAUGGUCAAGCUGGGCAAGUCCAUCGUGCAUGACAAAUGUAUAUCACAGGAAGAACUCGCCCAAAUUGACCGCCAUCGGCAAAAGUCAAUUUUCUUCCUCCAAGAACAACUCUCAUCGACACUCUCUCUGGUGGUUGUAUAUAUGGUGGACACUCUCUCACGGAUAUUUUGACUUUCGAUGAUGGUCGAGCUGGGGGAGUCCAUCGUGCGUUAUCAAGAUAUAACAGGAAGAGCUCACCAAGAUCGACCGUCAUCAUCAAAAGUCAAUUUUCUUCCUCUAAGAAUGACUCUCAUCGACUGUCGGUGAUGGUCGCUCUUCCUCUGUUCCUCCUGCUUUGAAAAUAUCACAGAGGAGGAACAGAGGAAGCGUGACCCCCUACGAGAACAAUCGGUACCAUUCCUCUGAAAAUAUCUCGCAUCUGUCAAAUAUGGUCGUCACUCGCUCAAGAUAAACACUAGUACAUAAAAACUACUAUAAGAAACUACUACGGGGAACUACUACCAAAACUACUAGUACCACUACUAGAUAAAACUACUACAUAAAAACUAAUGCAAAAAGCUACUACAAAAACUAAUAGACAUAAACAACAACAAAAUCCAUACAUACAUCCACACAUAACAUCCAUGCAUACAACAACAUCAAAAAUUAUCUACAUAGCAUCCAUACAUCUAUCAAUCCAUACAUCUAGUCAUCCAUCUAUCUAUGCAUCCAUCUAUCCAUCUAUUUAUGCAUCUAUGUAUGCAUCCAAAUAUCCAUCUAUAGUCUAUACAUACAUCCACACAUGGAGAGGGGGAGCUCACCAAGUANNNNNNNNNNNNNNNNNNNNNNNNNNNNNNNNNNNNNNNNNNNNNNNNNNNNNNNNNNNNNNNNNNNNNNNNNNNNNNNNNNNNNNNNNNNNNNNNNNNNNNNNNNNNNNNNNNNNNNNNNNNNNNNNNNNNNNNNNNNNNNNNNNNNNNNNNNNNNNNNNNNNNNNNNNNNNNNNNNNNNNNNNNNNNNNNNNNNNNNNNNNNNNNNNNNNNNNNNNNNNNNNNNNNNNNNNNNNNNNNNNGCGCCGGCCGGUCGGGGGACGGCCGCGGGGUGCGGGGGCGCCGGUCGGUGAGGGGGAGCAGCGAGAAGAGAGAGGCACAAAGUAAAAUGAAACCAACGGGGAAUUAAUUUAAGUUUCUCCACGCUACCUUUACAGAGAGCCUGUCGGUGGGGCACUCGAAAAAGGAAGUCAAACCUAGAUCUAGGUUUUCUGUUACCGAGAGGUACUCUCGAAAAAGGUCCGCAACUAGAUCUAGGUUUUCCUUUUUGCCUAGGGCAAAUCUCGGAAAUGACAUCUGUACCGAGUGCUACUCUCGGUAAUAUGAUUAGUUAGCAUCACUUGUGCCUCUUUCAUCUAACCUUGCGCAUGCCGCAAGGACAUCACAAAGAAUUUUCCAUACCGCUUCCGGGCAUGAUUUCAUGUGCCACCUUGCAGGUCUGCAAAUACCGGUGAUGAAACCCUAGCAGAGCAAUAAAUGUCUCAAAUAUUGCACGCGGGUAGGAAAAAUGCUGGGGACUGGCACAUGUCAUGCGAUGGCUUCAUUUGAGAGCACGAGAAGUUCCGAGGCCAAUGGAGCAACAUGACCCACACUUCCUGCACAAACCAAACACAUUACCUCUCGAUACCCUGAGACUAGAUCGCAAAUGGUGGGUUUACAAGCGGCACCAGGGGAGGCAUAUCCGAAAUGCGCCUAAACUUUUACCACCCUGGGCCAUGUGAUGGUAGCAUGCCAGCUCUCGAGGAAUUCCGGCAUCGUACGAUUUUCCGAGGAUUUAAACGGUUGGACUGGACAUGCCACCAAGGUACUUUCGCCCCUGGUGGCAGGGCAUUGCCCCUACCUCGUCUGCACAAGGCCUACGCAUGCCGCAAGGAGAUCACAAAGGAUUUUCAAUGCCGCUUCUGGGCAUGAUUUCAUGUGCCGCCUUUGCAGACCUGCAACUUCCGGCAUGAAACUCUAGCAGAGUAAUAAAUUUCUCGAAUAUUGCACGCGGAUCGAAAAAUGCGAGGGUGUGGCAUGUGUCAUGCGAUGGCCUCCUUUGAGAGCGCGAGAAGUUUCAAGGUCAACGGAGCAACAUGACCUGCCCUUAGUGCACUAAUCGGACAUCUUCCCUCUCGAUACCCAGAGACUAGCUCGGAGAUGGUGCGGUUUACAAGCGGUCUCAGGGAAGGUGGGACUAUUUAAACACGUCUUGUUGCCUAUCCCUGGGCGAGGUGGGACUAAAGUUUGCUUAAUCUUUGCCGAGCGUAGCUCUUGGCAAAUAAGUCUUAAGUUUGAACUUCAUUAGAUGAUAUGUCACGUUUGAGUUAAACAUGUGUGAUGAUAUGGGUGUGUACUAAAAAAAGAUGUACUUUUCAAAGAAAAAAGAUAAAAGAAAACUGAAAGUAUGUCUCAAGAAAGAAGAAAACUGAAGGUGAGAUAGAAGUCACACAAUCAACAAUCAGGGCAUUCAGGGUAUUGAUCAGUGUAGACCCACGAUUAAUGAAAGCUGAAUGUGAGACGGAUUCGUGUAUCGAUUAUUCUUUAAGCAGACCUAGUACCUGCUUGCCAGGCUGCCAUUUUCAGUGAAUCUUUCCUUGUGUACAAUGAAUCUUUUCAGCUACUUGAGAAAACUGUCCAUCCGAACUAGUACAAGCAAAGAAAGGUCAAAUUUGUGUAUGCAAAAUCUGCACUGCACCCAAAAUCGGAACGGCUUAUUUCUCAUUUAUUCAUCAUCAAAUCUGUUGGCGAUUACACAAGAACAGAAACGACCAGCGAAAGAAACGCAGUACAGAGAUGCCUCGCCAGACUCGAUCGGCAAGAACAAAGACACAACUGUAGCAUACAUUCAGGUUGCAGACCUCGCACACGCAUCAACCAAACUGGCUCCAUCCUUGAUGACCAUACGUCGAGACGCAUGCACUCAGCCGGAGAUCUGGAUGGCCUUCACCUCGGGCUUCUUGACCUGGGCCUUGGGCACGGUGACGGUGAGCACCCCGUUCUCCAGCCCGGCCUUCACGUCCUCCACCUUGGCGUCCUCGGGGAGGCGGAAGCGCCUGACGAACUUGCCGCUGCUGCGCUCCACGCGGUGCCACUUGUCGUUCUUGUCCUCCUUCUCCUUUGUGCGCUCGCCGCUGACGACCAGCACGUUGCCGUCCUCCACCUCCACCUUGACCUCCUCCUUCUUCACGCCGGGGAGGUCGGCCUUGAAGACGUGCGCCUCGGGGGUCUCCUUCCAAUCCAUCCGGGCGUUGGCGAACGCGGCCGUCUCGCUGUUGCCGCCUGAGAUCGCCGGGACGAUGGAGCGGAAGGUGUCGAAGGGGUCCGCCCAGAGGUCCGCCAAGGGGUCGAACACGUUGCUCCGCCUCACGAUCGACAUUCUCGGUGUUGCUUCGGUUUGUAGCUCGGGGGGAAAUUCUGUAUCGGAUCGUACGUAGGAUUUUGCUUGACGCUGGCUUGAGUUUGGGAUGGCGGGCGAUGGGACUGAGGCCAGCUACUUAUAGCGUCGUCGGCUGCUGGUCUUGAAGCAUCUCGAGAACUCUCAAAUCGACGGGAGUUUGGUUCUCCUUCGGUUUCCAGCCAGGCUGUGAGCCAUUCUUUCUUCCUUCGGUUAUCAGCCCUUGAAGGGCCUACCGUCUUCUAGAGUCUCCUACUUGCCGUUAGUGGGCCUUCUCUCUAUUUCUUGUUAAUAAUUGUACCAGCACCUGGGCCACUAUUCUAGAAUGUGUUGCGGGGCCGUCUCUAGAAGAGGACAUGGAAACCAGAGAAACUAAGGGUAACCUCCGCCGACGGCACUUUUCUAGCGUGGAGCGUUUCAAAGUCGCUACGUGAACCGUGUUGGGCGUUUUCUCAUUGAAAUGGUUUUUCUUCGGGUUUCCUAUAAAACUUUUCUGUUUUUGGUUUGCGUUUUUUAUUAUUUACUUAUUUUUUAUUUUGAAUUCUUUUCACUGUUCUCAUUUUUUCUUGUUUCAUUUUUUUGGGGUUUUAUGUCUGGCAAGCGCGUGUGCUUCUUCAAAAUGAGCACGGUUGUGUUUCACCUUGCGGACGCACAAGCACUUGCAAGUUGAAACUACAGUUUAGUACAAUUUGGAAGCACAAGUUACUACUAGUUAGAAGCACAAAUUUGCCCAAAAAGUUCUUGUCGAAACAUAUCAACAUGAGAUCUAAUUUCGAAGAUCUUGACGUGAGAAAUACAAUGUUGAAAAUGGUUCAUGUUUUGGACGUAGAUUCAGCAGAUAAAACUCUUUGAAAAAAUAUCUAUAAAAGAAGAACACAAACCCACCGGCGCCUCCAUACUGUCACAAAAAAUUCUGACCAAAACUGUCUGGUUGCGACAAGUCUCGCACGUGCAGUCACCACUUAUCGCCACCAGGGGAGGCGAUAGUGCAAGGGUUACCCGUUAACUACUGAUUUUGGAGAACUAGAGGUGCCGUGUAAGGAGGAGUCGGAGGGCCAAUCCUAGCGGGCAAACGCGAUGUUAUAUGGGCCAGCCAUUUUUCCAUAGUUCUUCUCUUUACCUUUUUCUUUCUUUUGUUUUUUCAUUCAGUUUCAGUUUCAUAUAUUUUUCAUUUUUUUAUUUUAAAAUCAAUAAUAUUUUCUAGAAUUCACGAAUAUUUUAUGAACUCUGCAUCAUUGUUUCAGAAAUAUAUUUUAAGUAUUUUACCAUUUUUUAAGUCAUAAAUGUUAUUCAAAUUCAUGAAUAGUAUUUUAGUUCACUUUUCUUAGUCACGGUUCACAUUUCUUUUGAUAUCCUUGAAAAACUUGAAAUAUUCAUGAACACUUUUAUAAGUACAUGAACAUUUUUAAAUUUGUAUUUUUAAAAAUCCGAACACAUUUUCUGCAAUUGAAAACAUUUUUUUGAAAUUUAGGAAAAUUUAAUGAGUUGUCAAAUCUUUUGAAAAUUCACAAAUAAUUUCUCAAAUUCACAAAACAAAAAUCGAAAUCAUAUUUUUUACAAAUUCACGAACAAUUAUUCUGAAUCAUGAAUAUAUUUUGAAAUUCAUGAUUAUAUAUUUUUCCAUAAUUUUGUUUAAAAAGGAAUCCUAAGAGAAUUAAUACACAAGUGCACACACUUCCGCACUAGGCCGACCCAAAGCGCUUGGAGGUACACGUUUGACUAGGCGGUCCCGAGUGAGUCCUCAUCUUCACCGCCUUAAGCCCAAGCCGAACGUGUCCCAACUUCGCGCUAGCUGCUCGCUCGCUUUGCCCAGUAGAUCUUUUUUCGUUUUUUCUACAGUUGGUCUGGUAGAUAAAAACCGAUUGGUCAUAAUACUGUUGAAAAAACUCAUCAUCGAUAUAAGUUCACAGAUUUACUAAAGAAAAGUGCACAAAAAAGAAAAAAUUCCAAAUUUUGAAAAGGUUGAUGAAUUUGAAAAGGUUCACGAAUUUGAAAAAAGUUCAUUGAUAUUUCAAAAGAAGUUCACGAGUUUAAAAGAAGUUUUCAAAAUGAAAGAAAAUCAAAUUGAGAAAAGUUCCAUGCAUUUGAAAAAUGGAAAAAGAAAAAGGAAAUAAAUACAAAAAGAAUGAAAAAAUGAUCCGGAAAAAACUAAAACAUCAAAAAACGCCCGGGAAGCUUCUGGAGCCUGGACUAUUCUAACGUCUGCUUCUUAAAUGGUCCAGGCUCAUAAUUACGCGCGCAUGUAAGAAUGUGUGUCAACCACACACGUAGGCAGGUAAGCUAUUUUUUCACUUUUUUGUAUUUUGAAGUAUUUUAAAUACAUAUAUUAAAAAAUUUACUUGAAUUACAAAAAGUGUUGAUAGCGCAUUUAAAAAAAUCAUGCAUUGUAAAAAAAGUCCGUGAUAGCUUUCGAAUAAAUGUUCGUGAUUUCUAAACAUAUUUCAUCGUUUCAAAAUUUAUAUUUGUGAUAUUUUAGAAAAUGUGCAUACAAUAUAAGAUAAUGGUCCCUAUUGAAAAAAACGUUCAUGACAUUUAAAAAAUGUUCUAAUGCUUAAGAAAUAUUUUUCAUGUUUUAGAAAAAAAUUAGGACAUUUAUGAUUUUAUAAUGUUUGUUAAACAAUAUUCACUGUGUAUUCAAAAAGUGUUCACAUGUGUUCAGAAAAUGUUGAACAUGUAUCUUUAAAAACUAAAAAGUUUAAUGUCUAUUCAAAAAAUUCUUAAUGAUGUACUCGAUUUUGUUUUUUCAAUGUGCAUCUGGAAAUGUUAAGCCUGCAUAUGAAAAAUGUUCAACAUGUAUUUAAAUAAAAGUUAAUGUGUAUUUGAAAAAUAAGAAAGAAAACUAGGAACCCUACAAAAGAAAAGGGGGAAUGAAUUGAAAAAAGUCCAAAAGAAAAUUGAAAGAAAAAUCGAAGUAAACCUAUAGAGAAACACACAUACAAGGACGUCUUUAGUCCUAAGUAAAUUGGGUAGGCUAGAGCUGAAAACCAUAACACCCUAUAAUAUCUCGAAAUCAACUCAUGGUUCUGAUAUGUGGAUAGCUAAUUUUCACAUGGGUAGUCGUUUAGUGAUAUUCUAGUCUUUUAAAUCUCUAUUUGCGGACUACUUUCAUGUCAGGUUUUUUCUAGCCCGACCUCUUUUGAUAUUUCCAGCACGCUUUAGCUGUCUACUGUGCACUGGAUCUUUUGAAGGCGUAUGUUAAAUUUGCGCAAAUCAUCUAAGACGAUAUUGGACAAGUUUCUCUUCUGUCGGUGCUAUCCCAACUCUAUUGCAUGUGUCAUCAUUCUGGAUCCGAUUCUUUCUUAUGUGUUCACAUGUGUAUCUCCGCUACACCUAACUGUUGAACAUGUAGCCUUUUAGUCGUCCAACACUCAGCGUCAUACAACAUUGCUUGUUGAAUCGUCGCCCUAUAGAACCUAACUUUUACCUGUGACACUCUCUUGUCACAGAGAACGUCAGAAGCUUGCGCCAGUUCAUUCAUCUGACUUUGAUUUGAUGGCACACAUUUUUAUCAAUAUCACCAUCCUUUUGCAGGAUUGACCCCAAAUAUUAAAAGAUGUCCUUCUGAGGUACCACCUGCCUAUCAAGGUUUACAUCCUCCUCCUCGUUCUAGUAGUACUGAAAUCGCACCUCAUGUACUCGGUUUAUUUCUACUGAGGCUCAACCUUUCGAUUCCAAGGUUUGCCUCCAUAGGUCUAACUUUCUAUUUAACCCUCGUCCGACUAUCAUGGACUAGCAUCACAUCAUCCGCAAAAUAGCAUACACCAUGAGAUAUCUUCUUGUAUAUCCCUUGUAACCUCAUACGUUACCAAAGCAAAAAAGAUAAAGGCUCAAAACUGGCCUUUGGUGCAGUCCUAUAUCAAUUGGGAAGUCAUCAGUGUUAUCAUCACUUGUUCGAACACUUUUCAUAGCAUUUAUUGUACAUGUCCUUGAUGAAGGUAAUGUAUUUUGUUGGAACUUUAUGUUUCUCCGAGGCCCACAACAUGACUACACAAAAAUAAGAAAAACCAGAGAAAAUAGAUAGACACAGAAAAAAUUCGGACAAUAAAGCUUAGUCUCGCAAUAAAGACAUGGCUCCUAUGAUCGCAAGGUGUCACUGUUUCGCAUAGGGGCGUUCCUCAUUGGGCCAACCCAUUUGCGUGAAACUAUAGUGAAUCGGUUCCAGUAUGGUUUUUCUGUCGGUUUAAAAAAUUGAAAAACAAUUAUUGUAAAUGUGGACAUUUGUUGAAUACCUAAAAAUGUUUUGUGUACACUUUUUUGGUAAAAAAUGAUUUAAGAAAAUGUGAACAAUUUUCAAGUAUUCUUUUUAAACAUGGACAUUUUAAACUUGUGAAAUUUUUCCAAAUUUUGUUUUACUACGCGAAGGUUGUUUAAAAUUGUGCAAAAAAAUGUAUUUAAAGAACGUGACCGAUAUUUAUAAAAGUAAAUAAUAUAUUUUCAAAAAUAUAAUUUUUUUUAAAUUUUCUAAAAACCAUGAACAUUUUUCGAAAAUAAAUAAAAGGAAAACAACACUAGGUGGAGCAACUUGUUCAACCCCUUCGCCGAGCCCUUCAAUGUCUUCAAAUAUGCACAAACUACACCUUUUCUACACGGGAGGGGGCGAGGGUUUUAUAUCAAUUAACCUGUAUUAAGAUGAUCCAGGUUAAGAACACGCACCACAUUGGAGGUAUCUAGCAACCCAUCCUCACAAUCUGCUCCACUACGAUGAUUUCGUGGUUCCUGGCAAAGGAAAAAGAGCAACAGUUCUUUAGAAAGGAUUUAGAAAGUAAACCAAAAUAAACCAAUAAUAUCUGUCCGCACCAUCAAAAUAAAGUAGAACUAUAGUGACAUGGGUCGCAUGCCGAAGCAACUUGCACCCUCAUUUUGCGCAUGCCAUCUUCGACCAAAUCGAUCUAGAAGAAAAGCUUUUUUCGGGGAUCCUAGAAGAAAAGUUGGUCUCACAAACACUUGAAUCAUGUAAUUAUGCCCUUCAAUUUUAAAUACCGUGUGGUUUUGGUGGUCUUGGAGUGGUUUUAACAAAAGUUUUGUCGAUGUUCAACUCGAUCGCAUGGCUCCAACACUGCUAUUUUUUCUUCAGAAAUCUCCACUUGUUCUUUUUAAAGCAUAUAAAAUACUAGAGAGAAUAUCUAAUAAAUCAAGAAGACGUAAAAAUUAAAUAAAAAUUAUCUGAUUGUUGGCUUUUUCAUGCUUGGAUGAUAUGAUAUUGGCAUCCUGAAAAAAAAAUGUUAUUGGCAAAACUAGACAAUAUCAGAGAGCUCUGAAAAAUAAACAUAGUUAAGAGUUCUUUUGGCAAAUUUAAAGUCAACUAUUGGUCCAUCGGUUCCAUGCCUGAUUUGUUUUUUUUUUGCGAGAAAAUUUUCAAUCUAUUCAUCAAGGCCUGAUUUGUUUCUUUAACAAAGAAGGAAAAAUUGUUUCUUUAACAAAGAAGGAAAAACACAAUAAUCGUUGGUAGGUCUACUUAGGUCUCUCCUUCCGCCUGCAGCAGGAAAGUCCCAAUCGAAAUAGAAUUUCUGUUGAAACUAGAAACCGGCCACACAGCGCCAAACAUGUUGGAUCCGCAUUCAUGGUGUUGAUCAUUGUAGAGCCACGAUUAUUCCUGUGCACAGUUUUCUUACUCAAUUCUUAAGCAUAAGUUUCUAUAGAAAACAAAGCCUGUCCGUGACCAAGUUUUCGGACAGCCAAUGAAUUUUCCCUUCAGAACAAAUGAUACUUUUCAGCUGCUUGAGAAAAGGAAAAGAGCAGGAAAGCCAUUUUUCUCUUGAUCUUGUCCAUCCGAACAAGAAGCGAAAAGGUCAAAUUUUGUGUGUGCAAAAUGCGCACUGCACUCAAAAGCCGACCGGUUUAUUCAUCACCAAAUCUGUAGGUGAUUACACAAGUAUAUAAACGACUGGGGAAAGAAACGCAAUACAUUGUUCAUAGUUGCCUCGCCAGACUCGAUCAGCAAGAACUGUAGCAUACUUUCAGGUUGCAGACCUCGCACACACAUCAACCAAACUGGCUCCAAUGCUCAGCCGGAGAUCUCGAUGGCUUUCACCUCGGGCUUCUUGACCUCGGCCUUGGGCACGGUGACGGUGAGCACGCCGUUCUCCAGCCCGGCCUUCACCUCCUCCACCUUGGCGUCCUCCGGCAGGCGGAACCGCCUCACGAACUUGCCGCUGCUGCGCUCCACACGGUGCCACUUGUCGUUCUUGUCCUCCUUCUCCUUGGUGCGCUCGCCGCUGACGACGAGCACGUUGCCGUCCUCCACCUCCACCUUGACCUCCUCCUUCUUCACGCCGGGGAGGUCGGCCUUGAAGACGUGCGCCUCGGGGGUCUCCUUCCAGUCCACGCGAGCAUUGGCGAACGCGGCCGUCUCGCUGCUGCCGCCAGAGAUCGCCGGGACGAUGGAGCGGAAGGUGUCGAAGGGGUCCGCCCAGAGGUCGGCGAAGGGGUCGAACACGUUGCUCCACCGCACGAUCGACAUCGUCGGUGUUGAUUGCUUCGGCUUGUGCGCUCGGAAAAUUCUGUAGAUCGUAGGUAGGACUAGGAUGUUGUGUGCUUUUGCUUGACACUGAUUUGAGUUGGAUGGAGGGCGAUAGGGCUGAGGCCAGGUACUUAUAGCGUCGUCGGCUGCUGGUCUUGAAGCAUCUCGAGAACUCUCCAAUGGGCAAGAGUUUGCUUUCUUCCUUCGGUUAUCAGCCCUUGAAGGGCCUACCGUCU